UGGGGAAUCUUCCGCAAUGGACGAAAGUCUGACGGAGCAACGCCGCGUGAGUGAAGACGGCCUUCGGGUUGUAAAGCUCUGUGAUCCGGGACGAAAGAGCCUGAGGUAAAUAGCCUAAGGAAGUGACGGUACCGGAAAAGCAAGCCACGGCUAACUACGUGCCAGCAGCCGCGGUAAUACGUAGGUGGCAAGCGUUGUCCGGAAUUAUUGGGCGUAAAGCGCGCGCAGGCGGCUUCCUAAGUCCAUCUUAAAAGUACGGGGCUUAACCCCGUGAUGGGAUGGAAACUGGGAAGCUGGAGUAUCGGAGAGGAAAGUGGAAUUCCUAGUGUAGCGGUGAAAUGCGUAGAGAUUAGGAAGAACACCGGUGGCGAAGGCGACUUUCUGGACGAAAACUGACGCUGAGGCGCGAAAGCGUGGGGAGCAAACAGG
rnacentral:rRNA from 1 species